rnacentral:rRNA from 1 species
AGCUCCAAUAGCGUAUAUCAGAAUUGUUGUGGUUAAAAAGCUCGUAGUUGGAUCUCGGUUUCAGGUGAAUGGUGCACCUUGUGGUGUUUACUAUUUGCUCGGACGAUUUUGUUGAUUUGGUCAUAGUUCUCUUAAUCGAGUGCUUUGAGUGGUUAACACGUUUACUUUGAAAAAAUUGGAGUGCUUAAAGCAGGCGCUACGGCCUGAACAUUAGUGCAUGGAAUAAUAAAAUAGGAUCUCGGUUCUAUUUCGUUGGCUUUCGGAAGCGAGGAAAUGAUUAAUAGGAACAGACGGGGGCAUUCGUACUGCGACGUUAGAGGUGAAAUUCUUGGAUCGUCGCAAGACGAACUACUGCGAAAGCAUUUGCCAAGAAUGUUUUCA